rnacentral:rRNA from 1 species
AAUCAACGCUGGCGGCGUGCCUAACACAUGCAAGUCGAACGAGAAAGUGGAGCAAUCCAUGAGUAAAGUGGCGCACGGGUGAGUAACACGUGACUAACCUACCCUUGAGUGGGGGAUAACCUAGGGAAACCUGGGCUAAUACCGCAUAAUACCUACGGGUCAAAGGAGCAAUUCGCUUUAGGAGGGGGUCGCGGCAGAUUAGUUAGUUGGCGGGGUAAUGGCCCACCAAGACGAUGAUCNGUACUCCGGCCUGAGAGGCGCACGGACACACUGGAACUGAAACACGGUCCAGACUCCUACGGGAGGCAGCAGGU